UACGAAGGGGGCUAGCGUUGCUCGGAAUUACUGGGCGUAAAGGGCGCGUAGGCGGAUGUUUAAGUCAGAGGUGAAAGCCCAGGGCUCAACCUUGGAACUGCCUUUGAUACUGGACAUCUUGAGUGUGGGAGAGGUGAGUGGAAUUCCGAGUGUAGAGGUGAAAUUCGUAGAUAUUCGGAAGAACACCAGUGGCGAAGGCGACUGACUGGACAAGUAUUGACGCUGAGGUGCGAAAGCGUGGGGAGCAAACAGG
rnacentral:rRNA from 1 species